CUCCGUUUAGCUCAGUUUGGUAGAGCACUUGCUUUGGGAGCAAGGGGUCGUAGGUUCAAGUCCUGCAACGGAGA
rnacentral:tRNA from 2 species